CUCUUCCUCUUUUCAUCUGUUUUCUCUCUCUCAUCCCCUUUCCUAUUCAAUUCAUACCUUCACACAAUGCUUUUCUGUCUUCUUAUGAGUCUAAUUCUACUGCCCAGCUUGAUUUGUUUUUUAUAUCUCAUAUCUGCUACUGAUACUUCACUCUUCAUUUUGUCUUACAGUUAGUUUGACCCAAUCUUUUCCUUUUAGCAGGAGUGGCUAAUAAGAGGAAACAUAAUUAUAUUUUAAUCCUGACAAAGAUUGUUUUUCAUCAAAUAUGCUUCAGACUUUAGUUCUUUGUAAUAAAGUGUUCCCCUGAUGAUCUGUGGUUAAGUAAGCAAUGCAGAGUUCCUAAAAACUACAAUGGCGAAACAUAUGUAGGAACAAA